rnacentral:rRNA from 1 species
ACGAACGCUGGCGGCAGGCCUAACACAUGCAAGUCGAGCGCGCCCUUCGGGGUGAGCGGCGGACGGGUGAGUAACGCGUGGGAACGUGCCCUUUUCUACGGAAUAGCCUCGGGAAACUGAGAGUAAUACCGUAUACGCCCUUUGGGGGAAAGAUUUAUCGGAAAAGGAUCGGCCCGCGUUGGAUUAGGUAGUUGGUGGGGUAAUGGCCUACCAAGCCGACGAUCCAUAGCUGGUUUGAGAGGAUGAUCAGCCACACUGGGACUGAGACACGGCCCAGACUCCUACGGGAGGCGGCAGUGGGGAAUCUUAGACAAUGGGGGCAACCCUGAUCUAGCCAUGCCGCGUGAGUGAUGAAGGCCUUAGGGUUGUAAAGCUCUUUCAGCUGGGAAGAUAAUGACGGUACCAGCAGAAGAAGCCCCGGCUAACUCCGUG